GACGAACCGAGCGAACGUUGUUCGGAAUCACUGGGCUUAAAGGGCGCGUAGGCGGGCUGUCAAGUCUGGGGUGAAAUCCCGCGGCUCAACCGCGGAACUGCCUCAGAUACUGACGGUCUCGAGGGGGGUAGGGGCGAGCGGAACUGAUGGUGGAGCGGUGAAAUGCGUUGAUAUCAUCAGGAACACCGGUGGCGAAGGCGGCUCGCUGGACCUCUUCUGACGCUGAGGCGCGAAAGCUAGGGGAGCAAACGGG
rnacentral:rRNA from 1 species